AAAAGGAAAUGUUUUGAUGACAUUUUAGCCCUUAUAUAACUAUGCAUUCGUAUUUGUCUUUGCUAUAGUUCAUUCUAAGAGUAAUAUUUUCAACAAUUAAGGGAAGCUCUUACAUACCAGCAUUAUACACUUAGAUAUGGAUAAAUUUCUGUAGUAAGUAGUGUGAGUCAUCUGUCAUGAACUGUACAAUAUAAAUGUUUUUGUCAGCAUUGUGGAUCAGCAUUUUUAUUGAUUUAUUUUUGCAAUAUUUGCAAAUUAUAGGGAUCUCUUGGGGAGCUCUUAAUUUUACUUCUCUAUGGAUGGCAAAAUGUGAAAGCAACAAGAGAGGUCAGUGUUACAUUCUUCAACAGCAUCAUGUCUCUUUUCUUUGCUCUGCUGAGACAAAAAGGUGCUUCUUUAUAGUCAAGAUGGUGCUUCCUCCAAUCAUCAAUCAUACGCCCUUCAACCUGUAAUGCAGAAGUCAAUAAAAGUAUCAAUUAAUUUAAUGCAUUCGGAUGACGUGAGUUCCUACAAGAGAAUAAGAAUUGUGUAGAUUAACUGUGCAUUUUGUGAUUUGGUUAUUGAAACCACAGAAUUCAUGUUUUCUGGUGUACAGCAUUUUGGACGUUCUGAAAUAUUCAAGACCUGCCCUACAAAAAGAAAACUACAUUAAACAAAUUAGGCAUGUACAAGAAAAACUGGACAUUAACCACAAUGAAUCUAGAGAUAAUAUACUAAUUAUGCAAUAAUUCACUCUGUGGUGCUAACAGCGUUCCAUUUUGCAUUGGGCCUCAUCACACCACCUUAGAGUGGAAUGUUUUCAUAUAACAGCAUGGCUCAUCAUAUGAUAUUCAAUACACGUUAACUACCACCUUUCAUCCUUUGUCCCACCCACUGUGGCAAAACGUAAAGCACCUAUUUAAACUACUUAUCCCUGCCAUUUCCACUUAAUUCUAUAGUCUCAUCAAUCUGUACUGCUUUGUGCCCUUACUUUUUAUGUGUGUAACAUGCUAUGUACAGUGCUUCCUUGUCAUAUAUACAGCAGGUUUCUUGUUUUUACAUGUUAAGUCAUCUGUAGGCACAUGCUGCUGUAUUAAAUUUGAUUUUGACUGGAAGUAACUCCAUACUCAUUACUUAUGAUAAUUAAUUAAUGCAUGAAUUCUGAUAACGUUCAAUUAAUGAAAUAAUAGUACAUUUUGUAGCAAAAAUAACAAUGCAUGUUUUUGUCUAAGGGAAAAAAAAAUCACAAUCCCUUUUCACUAAAUGUUAGCGGAAAAAAAGGCUACAACAAAUCUGGUAGCAGACAUUCAGUUGGCUAUGGUGUAGAUUACACCAACUUGGGUGACCUCAAUGUUUAUGGGAAUAAACACACAUACCCCAUUAAGAAGCCCAUCUACGCGUCAACUGAUUUCAUAAAUGUAAAUAGAAAUAUCUUUAUCAUUGGACCUGCCAUAUUUUUUACAUGAGGAUAAUGAAUUUACAAAUUCAUGUGAUUUCAUUAUGUUAAAUAAUGGCUUGCUUUGAAUAAAAAAUAAAUAAAAAAAAGAUAAAUGCUUAUAUGGAAAUUUGGUCAGUUGGUAUGGAUGUAUGGAUGUAUUUAUGCAAUUACAUGCAAAUACAGUUGACUAGUAAUUGUAUUAAUAAUAGAAAUACCACUGUGUUUUCUUUUUUUUUUUUUUUGGCUGUGACCAUUAAAGUGUUAAAUAAAAAGUAUUAACGUAUUGACUGUG
ensembl:lncRNA